rnacentral:ncRNA from 1 species
GGGAGCCGGAUGAUUUGAGAGGAUCACGUCCGGUUCUGCGAGGAGCCGAGGGUGAAACUCCCUCGGCCUACUCACC